AGGGUGACGAGGUGGUGCAUGGUUGUCGUCAGCUCGUGUCGUGAGAUGUUGGGUUAAGUCCCGCAACGAGCGCAACCCUCGACCUUAGUUGCCAGCAUUCAGUUGGGCACUCUAAGGUGACUGCCGGCUAAAAGUCGGAGGAAGGUGGGGAUGACGUCAAAUCAUCAUGCCCCUUAUGACCUGGGCUACACACGUGCUACAAUGGGCGGUACAAAGGGUCGCGAACCCGCGAGGGGGAGCCAAUCCCAAAAAGCCGCUCUCAGUUCGGAUUGCAGGCUGCAACUCGCCUGCAUGAAGCCGGAAUCGCUAGUAAUCGCGGAUCAGCAUGCCGCGGUGAAUACGUUCCCGGGUCUU
rnacentral:rRNA from 1 species